AUAAACCAAUCGCAGCUAUCUUAUAUAAAAUCAGGGAUAUGGCCUGGAAGUCUCUACCGAAAAACCGUAAAUUUUUCGACUAUAAGCUAGGGUAUUUCACAA
rnacentral:ncRNA from 2 species